rnacentral:rRNA from 1 species
AUGGUACCCGGUACCAAUCCUGCUGAUUACCUGAGCGAUGAUGUAGAGUUUGGAAUAAUGGAGGUGGACACCUUGAGAUACCAGUACGGGAAGCCUCUCGUCAAACCUGAUCAUCCCCCUCUAACAACGAUGAUGCGAAGAUUGCAUGAAUGGUACAUGGAUACCUGCAGCAAGUCUGGGAAGGAUAGUUCGAUGCUAAGAAUUAAAGAGGAGCACGACCUCGUUGGAACUGAGCUGAUGCCUGUUGAACUUGUGGAGUUAUUCCAGUUAUACAAUCAAUUGGCCCUCGACAAACAACUCAUGACUUGCUAUUGUAUGUAA